GUCAUUUCACAGCUUAGCUUUCUAAAUGUCUCUUUGUUUAUCAAGUCUUUAGGGUGGAGUAAGCUCUGUGCACUUACAAAUUGCUAAAGCAGUGUUCCAUGUCAUGAAUGGGACCGACUCGGUCUUAUCUGUUGUUUUUCAUAUACAAAUCGGACAGAAUCCGUUCGCGUUUUGCUCCUUGAGCUCUGUCGGCAUUGUGUCUACAGAUGUGUCUGUGUGUGGACGUGUGCCUGGGCACUCCCGGCGGCUGCUGGGCCAGCAGCUGCGAGCAGUUGUGAGCGUGGCUCGCCUACUUGGAGACCGCUUGUGUUUGAGGGAAAACUCAGCCUUUACCGCUGAGCUCCACCGGAGCCGUGAGGAGACGCUCUCCUCCAUGACGAGCGCGGCGAUGGAAGCCGCAUUUCGCACCCCUGCUUUGACCACAAGCAGACGGCCCCCUCCACCCUCCCCAGGACUCGAGGGCGAGCUGUGCGCGUCCCUGGGGGCCGGGGGCUGCCCCCCGGUGUCCCCUCACACCCACCCCUCAACCCCCGCUCCGCCCGCGCCCUCCUGCCGCGGGGGGCCGCUGUGCGCGGCGGGGCGGCGCCGCCGAAGGUUGCGGCCGUUGCCUAGCGAGGCGCUGUCACCAGCAGCGCGGGCGGCCCAGGCGCGGCCCGCCGGCCCCUCAGCCCGCCCGGAGGCUGCCUCCCGCCGCCCGGAGCAGGAUUUCAGGCUCUUGCAAAGCCUCCUUGACUGAGAAUCAGCAAGAGAAGAGCAGAAGAUGUGUUUGGGAUCCGGCAGCAUUUGAUACCCAUCGAGGCUUUGGAGUGUUUCUGGUAGACAUUUGUAAAGAAAUCCUAUUCGAUGCUUCUUCUUGUGCUUCAGAAUUAAUCCGUGGGGGGCAGUAUAAGGAGCCAUGGUUGCUGAAAUAUAUAACUAAUAAAAAAUAGUUCCAUAUGGGCAUAAACAGACGGAUUAAAAUCAGAGGAAUGCUUGGUGUGUAGUAAUCACAACUAUUUAAAAUCAUACCCCCCAUGUAAGCAACACGACAGCUUUCUGUGCUUCUGAAAUUCUAAAUACUUGGCCCUUGUAAGCAGAAGAUGGCUUUCAAGCACGUGUGUGUCUAUAGGUAUUAAUUCCGGAUAAAAAGGUUUUUUUGAAUAAUUUCUGUUGCCUAUGCAUCGGUACUGUAGCAGUGAGAAAAUAAGGUUCAUUGUAAGUCUAUGCUUUAUCAAGAGUUCAUUAACAAGAUCUUACAAUAUUGUUGCUUCAUCCGGCAGUAUAACGUCCAAACAGAAAGUCUGACCACUUUCAGACCAAAGGUUAAGUCUGCUAGCUUAGAAGGUAAUAGAAGCAAAAUUAGUUUCUGCACUGGUUUAACAGUUGUUAACAUAUCUGCUUUUUUAUCACAGUUCCUUUCCAGGGUGUAAUGUUGCUUAUGUGCAUCACUCUUCAUGCUGAUAAAUAUUUUAAAUUACAAACAAACUUUGAUUAUCAUACUUAUCCACUUAUCCAAAGCAUAGAGAAGCAUAACUAGAAACAUGGGAAAAUGAUAUGCAUAAAAGCAACAGACAAAUGCAGCAAGCAUAAUUUAGGUGAUUUAAAAUGUAAGGAUUUGGACCUAAGAAAUAUUCUGCCAAAAGUCUGUAAAAGUUGGUUUUAUUAUUUACUGAACUAUAAAAUACAAAGUUUAGAAAUGUAAAUUUUGCACAGUGCAGAUGACACACGAUGUGAAAGUAAGCAAGUCACUAUCACAUUCCUUCAGAGACUGAUGACGUCUAGUUGCAUGAUAAAUGUGCCUUAGGGAGGCUGUGGUAAGCUCUCAUAGGACUAACAUGAAGAUCAGUGUUUGCCUUGUGGCAAGCAGGUGUUGGAAUAAUUCGUUAAGUUUUCCUUUAAGAGCACUGUGUAAAAACAAUAAGGCUAUGCAAAGGAAUAGUAAAUGUUGUGAAAUAAAAGGAAGCUGAUUAUGCUAGGUGAAAGGCCACAAUCUCCUUUAAGCACCUGCAAGAACAACUGCAAAAAUGCUGAUGUUUAUAAAGUAGCCUGCUGGGACUAUAAUGAAGAUGUCAAAACCUCAGGCGGGCAGCCUUUCUUUAGUCCCCUUAAACCAUCUGUGGAUAAUGUGUGGAGGGGGGGAUGAUCUCACAAACCAUGUAAUCACAAAUUUCGUGUCUUUUAGUCUCUUAAAACAAAUAUAAAAACAAAGAUCAAAGCCACCAUCUAGACUGUGCUGAUUGACUUUUUGAAGAACAGCCCAAAGCUAGCAUAAGCAAGCACUCAGAGUUCUAAACAAUCAGUAUCAAAAAAGACUAAACAAGAACAUGUUUAUCUACCAAAUAUCUUCUUGUAUCCUUUUUCUGUUUAAAUCUUCAGCCAGCUGGACAUUCAAUUUAUUGAAAGCAUGCCUUCAUUUACUAAGAACAUGAGUAUAUUCUUAUGGAUAUGAAAAUAUAUAUUUAUAGACAAAGUAGAGAGAAAAUACAUAUUAAGCUGUACAUAAAAUGAGGCAAAUGGCUGAGAAAAUAUGUACUCAGGCAAUGCAUCAGCUGGUUAUCUUUAUUUUUUCUUUUUUUUCUUUCUUUUUUUUUUUUUUAAAUGGGAAGUUUUUAUUACAACUUAUUACAUAGCUUGUAAAGUAAUGUAAAAUCUCUGAUGUAAAGUCUUAUAUUUCAUAUUGAAAUGCAAAGAACCUGGAAUUAAAACUACCACUUAAAGAUGAUAUUUUUAUGGAAACUUGAAUCCUAUCACUGUUUUUGAUUCGAAGUGUUCUGAAUCAUUAUUUCUCAUAAUUACAUGCAAAUUAACAUCUCAUAUGAACACAUGGAUUUCUAUUUUAUUUCAUUAAGAGACAGAAAAUAGCAAUCACAAACAAAAAGUAACUGAACUCUUUCCAAAGUCUGAAAGUCUACAGACAAAAUUUGCUUUGGUCUUUCAAUAACCCAAGCACUUGCCCAAAUUUUUAAUCUUUCUGGAUCCUGCUUCUCUGCAAGUCUUCCAAUGUUUUUGCUAGACAUAGCCUGAUUUCAUAUGGCAAUAAAUAUUUAAAACAAGAACAGACCCAAAAGCACAGAUUUCCUGCAACAGACACCGAGAUUUAACUCUGAGUUUUUCACUAAUCCAGGAGCUCCAAUCGUCAAAAAUAAUUUACAGCCUUUUUUGUCUUGGUCCCUCAUUAGCUAUGCUAAAUGUCCUUGGCAUCAAGAAAUGAAGUAGCCAUUUGCUCACUGUAGUAUCCUUUGAAUGGCUGUAAACCAGUAACAUCAGGAAAGGUACUGCUUUGCCUCAUUAGAUUUAUUGAACUAGCAGGGAACCAUUCUGUUGCAUGACUGAAGUCACUAUUUGACUAAGUAAACAUUUAAUGUAUUUUAACUAAUGUUUCAUGCCUACUCACAGCUUACAACUAUUGCAACUAUAUAUUUCAGCCAUUUUCCUUUUUUUUCCAUAACUGCCUCUGAUUUUCUUCAGUCUAAACAAGACAAACUAUAAAAAGGUCUUGCUCUGCCAAACUGCCAACCUGCAUUGGUAAUUUACAUAUUAAUAAUUACAUACAUAAAAGAGUAAAGCAUUACUUAGCACAAUUCAUUAACAAAAAGCAGUUUGCAUGUUGCCAGAGUUGAACAUCACACAAGAAUUGCAAGACCUGUCGCCUUUACAUUAAUAUGCAAUGCAGGACUUCAGCAGGUGCUCUACCUCCUGAAAUCAUUUUCAUGAACAAUUCGUCAUGAAAAGUAUUCUGAUGGAAAUAUAAUUUGCAAUAGAGACCAGUGAAAAAAUCAGAUGUUGUCUCUGGCAACUGUACCAAAAUUUCCAGUCACUUGUAUGGGUCAAAAAAAAAAUUAAAUCCAGUUCCAUACCCUCACGUCAAAUAAAAAGAUAAACUUAUUAAGUACUGUCCAUAAGGAUAUGAGUGUUUUUAUCUGCUUUUCAUGAAAAACAAAGAAAGAAAAACACACGCACCCUAUCCCAAAGUAUCACCUCUCCUAAGGCUUGAAAUUUGCUUUUAAUUGAAGUUUUAACACAUCUGUGCUCCAUUCCUACCUCAUCUCUGUGUGCCAAUGGUGUCCAUACAGAAAUACAUACUUCAUAAGAGAAAAAGAAAGAUGAUGACAGUUCCCUUGAUCAAUUUUUAGCAGGCUCCUCUAGGCAGCUGUAGCUUUAAUCCCAGAGUCAGAAAUUAAGACUAAAUCUGUGAAGAAGUGCAUUAAACAAAUUUCACCCACUAUGAGGGUGGUGAGGCAGUGGUACAGGCUGCCCAGAGGAGCUGUGGGUGCCCCAUCCCUGGAAGUGCCCAAGGCCAGGCUGGAUGGGACUUUGAGCAACCUGGUCUGGUGGGAGGUGUCCCUGCCCAUGGCAGAAGGGGUGGAACCAGGUGGUUUUAAGGGCCCUUCCAAUGCAAACCAUUCUGUGAUUCUAUGAAUUGUUGGAACUGUACUGUAGCAUUCCAGCCAAGCUUUGUGUACUGGGUACACAUGGUAAGGGUUUGGCUGCAGGGGUGAGCAGAGCCCAGCAGCUGCCUCAUGUCAGAGCAGAGCUAGCUCCGGCCGGCUCCAAAAGGUUCUGGCUGCUGGCCAGAGCUGAGCCAGAAAGUUUAAAUCACGAAUUUAAACUUUCCACUUACCACAGCAAACUUCUAUGUAUGUCACCUCUUGGUUGCUUAGAUCUCUUCCUGAUGCACAGUAGCGCAAGGCUCAAUUUUAAAAAGUCCCUUAUUAGGAAACCAGGAUGAAUGUGACAAGGAGGGAACAGUUUAUCACUUCAUUCUUUCUCUAACUAUCUCCCAUUCUUCACUUCUAGGGCAGGACGCUCAAUUCACUAUAAGCAGUAAAAAAAAAAAAAAAAAAAAAGGCAACAGGCUGUAGCCACCAGGAAAAAAACAGCUAUGAUGGAAAGCCUUCAAGGUAAAUCAUUAGCUCCUAGACCUUUUUAAGUCCAGUCAACUGAUCUCGUCAUAAAAUGAAGAUGAAAGACAUGGUCAAUACAAAUUCAGAAAAUGGUAGAACAAUCUGUUUCUUCAGACACAGAACGUCUGCAUCCAGCUAGUUUGCAAGUAAUCCGAUGUGCACAGGAGGAUCAGGUGGCGCAGUCAGUUUACUGCAAUACCACUUUUCUCAACUUAUAACUUUGUAAGUGCCUUGUUUUAUCUCUGCUUGUCAAGCCUUUUGUACCAGGUAUGUUUUUGUACCGUGCCUUCUGCCUAUUCAGGAGAAAGCAGAAUGAUAAGGACAAUAUGCUUGCUUGCCUACUGCAUGCUACAGUAGACAAAUCAUGGAAACCUUAAACAUGGAAGUUAAAAUUUUCAUGAACGUCUUAAAAACAAUAAUAGGAAACUUCUUUAAUAGUUGCUAUGAUCAAUCUAAGCACAACUUUUAAUUUCCAGACCACUUGUUUUCAAUUUUUCAUUUCUAGACUAUGUCUUUCUAACUGUGGGAUGGGAAGUGGACAAUAAAAUUAAAAAGAAU